UCCUUCCUUCCUUCCUUCCUUCCUUCCUUCCUUCCUUCCUUCCAUCCUUCUAUCCUUCCUUCCUUCCAUCCUUCCAUCCUUCCUUCUUUCCAUCCUUCCUUCCUUCCAUCCUUCCUUUUUUCCUUCCUUCCUUCCUUCCUUCCUUCCUUCCUUCCUUCCUUCCCCUGUCCUUCCCCUUCCUCCUCCUUUCUUCCCGUUUUCCUUCUUUCCUAUCUUUCUUUCUGCUUCCCUAAUUCCUUCCUUCCUUGCUUUCUUGUUUCCUUCCUUUUUCCUCCUUUCAUACCUCCCUACAUUCUUCCCUGCCUUCCUCCCUUCAUUCCUUCCAACACUUCAAUUUGAAAUAGUUUUAUCUUCAAAAAAAUGAAUCUUUCAGAGUGCAAAUAUGAGUUUCAUAUACAAAAUAAGGGAACUGACCAUCUUUGUAAAGUAUUAUUAAGUUGUGAAAAUGUUUCUAUAAAUGUAUAACAGAAACUUCCCUUUUCUCAUGUCCUCUUGUUAGGCAUUGCAGAGGGCAAGUCUCACGAGACAGAGACAUGGAAUGAAAAUCGGGUUAUCUAUAGCAGCCUUUUAUAGUGUGGUUACUUGGCAGUUUGCUAGAGUAGAAACUAAAAAUAUCUUUUAAAGAUGGCUUAGAAAAAAAAACACAAUUGGUUUAGUAAUGGAGACUCUGCACCCCUGAAUUUGUAUCCAAAGUAUUUCUGACAGUUCUGAUAGGGAAAGGGAAGGUGGACAUGGAAAGACUUGCCCUCUGGGUUCAGAGUGACAGCGGGACAUGGCAAGCUUCUUAGUGUUUCAACUUACAGCCAAAAGGAAAGCUGCAACUCAGAAGAAGCUACCAAGCAUUUAAAGGUUGACUUCCAUGAUGAUCUGUGCAGGAAGGACACCAGAUACAUCAAUGACAGCAGCGGUAUGAAUAACAACUGAGAUGCCCUGGCAGGCUCUCCUCAGGCUCUGAGUGUCCAGAAUGUCUCCUUCUACUAUUGUCACCUUUGUCUUCGUGUUCAGCUCUGUAGAAAAACAAUGCGGGUCAUUAUGAAGCUUUCUGGAUGGACAGAACAUGAAUCUGAGCAGUAAGCUCCAAGGAGUGUCAUGAACAAAAAGAAUUUUUAAUGACUUCUGGGAAGAUUCGUCAUACUCAUCAAGGAGAGUGGUGAAGUUGAAGAUAGUCGCAUAAAGAGGCCAAAUUAGCAUUUAAUUGUGUAGACAAUGAGGAAUCAUUUAGGGAUUUGGAACUACAGGAGGAACAGAGCCAGGGCUGUGAAAAGGGUACUCACAUUGGUACCACAAUGUCCAGUGACCUUUUGUGAGGAUACAAAAGAAAACAAGACUGCAGUGCACUAAUCAGAAUGUCUCUGCCAGAAUUCAUAAGAGGGCAAACCAGGUCCCAGCAGUAGGAAGAGAAGAAGGGAGAACCACAAGCCAUCAGUUUCAGGCUUUCCCAUAACAGGUCUGGGUACGUAACUUUGUCUUGGAUGUGCAGAAAACUGAUUAAGCUCAUCCCUAGUGUUUCCUACAUGUGUAACUAGGAGGAGGUAAGUGAGCCAUGCCAGAGAAUUCAGGAUUGGCUCUUCUGAUGGGCUUUAUUGAAAAUGUUUUAUAUAUCAAAUAUUAUCAAUAGCAGACAUCCAUGAAGUAAAUGAAUCAUCUACAAUUAAAUUCCAUCCCCUCUAUCUAGUCCAGCACAGUUGUUACAACAUACAAAUCUCCUUAUAUCCUGUAAGGUCAACAUGUGUGACACAAUGACACCUCCAGUGAUACGGCUAUCUCAAUUUAGUCCAGAAAAUCCAUCCUGUGCCACAUAUAGCCUCCAUCAAAGCUCUGCAUGUGUUUGUGUUUUAGAGUUUACAGACAAAUGUGUAGUCAGCUCACUUCCUUUCCUAUAGACCACAGCAGAGAGGAAUUCGGAAUCCAGUUUCCCCUGUGUAGGUGAGGAAACUGGAUCACCAAGUUACAGGGAAGAUCUGAGUAUGCAGUGCUGUGAGGGUUCAUACCACACCUGCUUCCUCAGCUUGCUGUCUUUGUUCUGCACUCCAAGGACAGGAGGAGAUGUUAGGAAUUAGAUUUUCUGAAGCUGGGUCAGGGUAAGUGAACUAAAUUGAGUAUGGUAAUCAGGGCUCAGGAUGAGGGAGAGAAACAAUCAGAGAAAAAACCACUAGAUUGAGAUGCCCUUACUGUGUUGGAAGAACCACCCCUAGAAUUCUGUUAUGUUUGUUUUCAUCCCUUGCCCUCGUCAGGUAACCCAAGGAGGCCCUCUAGUGUAGGAUGGUGAGGAAGGGCUGAUGUAGGGAGAUGAGUGUCUGCCUAAGCAUGGCAUCUUCCCUUGUAAUGUCUCUCAUCUGUUAUUACUAUCACUGCUACUUCCCCAGCACAAGAACCAAAAUUUAAUGCUGUUCGACAAAAGUAAUAGGUCACCUAUAAAGGAAAGUCCAUCAGAAUCAUAUCCAACUUAUCUACAGAAACACUCUAGUCAAGAAGUGUUUAGUGGAAAGUAUUUCAAAUCCUGAAAUAAAACAACUUCCAACUCAGUAGGUGUCCUAUUAAACUUAUUUUUUAAAAUUAGUGGAGGAAAAUGGACACUUCCACGACAAAGAACAACUAAAAAAUUCAUGGUGAUAUAAUCAACCAUAGAAAGAGUCCUGAAAGAUAUUCUAGACAGAGAUAAAAAUGACCACAAACUCAGAAAAAAAAAAAAGCACGAGUAGCUAUUCUAUUUGCAGACAAUGUUAAUUUUAAACUAAGAGUAAUCAAAAGAGAUAAAGACGGUCACUAUAUACUUUGUUAGGGAAACCCUUCAAGGUGAAGAGAUAAUAAUCAUAAAUAUAUAUGCAACAACUAUGGGAGCAUCUAACUAUAUUAAACUAACAUUAAUACACAUGAUAAAGAAAAGAGACAAUAAAACGGUUGUAAUAGGACCUUAAUAUCCCAUUGUCAUAAAAAGAUCAAUCCACCAAAAAAACUUCAGGAAAGAAAUAACAGUAUUGAAUUGAAUAGGUGAGCAAAUGGACUUAAUAGAUAUUUACAGAGUACUCUAAAACAUAUACUAACCCAAGUAACAUGUUCAAUGCAAGGAGUUGAAAUUUUCCCAAGCAUAUUGUCUGAGCAUAGUGCAAAGAAUGUGAAAAUUAAUGGCAAAACAAUCAUCAAAAAUUUCAUAAAUGCAUACAAAUGAAAUAAUGCACUCAUGAAAGAUCAAUUGAGUACAGAAGAAAUUAAAGAAAAAAAUCAAACAAUAUCUGCAAUUAGUUGACACUGCAAACAUUGUACCAUGUAUUGCACAAACAAAACACUGGAAGCAUUCUUGAGACUUAGCUUCCUGCAGGCCCCAGCCUGAACUGUCCCUUCUCCUGAACUGUCACCAUGAGACUCUGUUCUUCAAAGCUGAGCAUGCGUUUUCUUACCACCAAGAGUUUCAUUCCAAAUAUUGCAGAUAUAACAUGUUUACAAACAUUUCUGCUCAUAUCUUAAUAUUUGUUUCCUGGAGAUACCAUCAAAGCAGUUAUGUGAAGAGUGCUGAUAGUGGAAGAGAUGAGAAAAGAGGAGAGAGAUGGGUUGGUUAGGAUUUUCUGGAAGGGCUUCUGCUUGCAUAUAGAGUGAUCAGUGCAGCCUUAUGCCAUAAAUACUUAGGUCAUGGAAUAGGGGUAGACAAUGGGGUUAAGGGUCAGUGGUAGACAAUGGAAAAUGCUGAAGUCAAGCUGUCACAAGUGUCUGACCCACGAUUCAGUGAUGUGGCCUUGGGGAUGGAAUGUAGAUAGAUUCCUUAAAUCAAUCAUUUUACCAUAACCUGAGUUUAGCUUCCCACUUCUUUUGCAGAUGAGUGAGUCCUAUUUUCUACUGUCACCACCGUAUUGUUUUAAAGAUCUAGGGUAAAGCAUCUGGGCAUAUUUGAUAUUCUUCCAGGAGCUUCAUUUGUAGUAAGGGCUACGAUUUUGGAAAAGAACAACGGAUAAGUCAGGUCAUUCUGCUUCACUCUUCUUUUGGGGAUGAAGAGAAGUAAGGCAUCAUAAGAAAAAUGUCGGAGGCUCCGAGGUAGGGAACGCUGGUCAUGCUGCUUCUCACCUGUGUGUACUACAGUGACUUUGUACAGAUACUCAUGUAUGAAUUCUCUCUUUCUCAUGUACAUACCCAAGAGCAGCUUUACCUAUAUUUCCUUUAUCUUACCUUCAGCUAAAAUGCUGACUCUUUGUACCCUUAAAGAAAGCAAACAGUGAGAUCCCAGGAAACCAAGGGAACAGAGGACUCAUGCCUGAGGCCCCUGGAUCAAUAGUCCUCAUCAGGUAUUGGAGAACAGUUGCCUAGUUCAGACACACGAGCAGAUUAACAAGCUGUAGGUGAGAGGAGUGAUGUGAGAUUUCUACAUGAAAAUCGGAGAGGUCCAGUGGCCCAGUACUGCCUAUGGCCAUCCAGAGUAAUUCUGAGUCAGGCAUAGGCAGGAGAUACACAAUGUGGGAGGCAUCCUGGUGUCAGGCCCAGAAACGAUAGGAUGCCUCUGGUUGUUGGAGAUCAAAGAACAUGCUGUUCUCACUAUCAUUUUUGCUUAUUAUAACGUAAGCCUGAGAAAUAUGUUCCUCCUCUCAGUAUUUUCUUAACAUCCUGCUAUUAAUCUAAAACAUAUGUGCAUGCACUUAUACUCUUUUGACCUGGGGCAAAAAAGGAACAUGUGCCUUCUUCAGAGGGACCAAUUGUAAACCCAAGGUUAGUUUGGUAUCAUUAGCUUUGUAAUUUUGAUCACUCACAGGGUUUUGACAGCCUCAUUGGUUUUAUUCAACUCCAAAUAAAUUUUAAAAAGUGUUUCAAUUAAUUAUAUAGAAUUGCACAGAAUUUUCUAGUAGAUGGAAUCACAGGCCAUAAAACUUUGAAAGUUUCCUCAAAACCCAAAGCUAUGAGGAAAUGUGUUCUUGAGUUUUCUCAUCAUACUCCCACUUUGACAAGCACAGUUUUCUUUAAUAUAUUUCAGUGUUUCUCACUGUGGUUCUGCUCAGUUGUUCAUUUGGAAUGUAAAAAACCUGCAUGUUGACUGAGACUGAGAACAAGUAUUCAGUAACAAGUCCAGAAACCAGUCUCUCAACAGCUGUUCAAGGUCUCUUAUUCUGUACAUCCUCAGUUCUUUCUGAUGAGUGUGGACAUGGGAGAUCCCUCAUGGCUCCAUAGUUCCUGUAUUUGUUUUAAAAAGCACUCCCUCCCACACUUGCUUAGACUGCAGAAAAUGAAGCUUCCAUUUCACUUACUAGAGAAUUCUUCCUUGGUGUCUUGUGUGAAGAAUUUGUCCAGGGCUCUGAUCUCCUGAAGCCCCUCCUCCUGCACCAACAAGUGGACAAUCCGCUGGCCUAGGAAGCCUCCUGCUCCUGUUACCAGGCAGCUCCAGCCUGUCAUGGCUGAUGUAGAUAGCAGAACACAGUGAGCAGCAGGUGUGAUGAUAGAUGACUCUGGAGAGGGUUAAAGAAAAAAUCCAGUUAUUAUAGGACAUGGCUGCUUGUAAUGUCAGAGAGGGGGAAUUUACUGUUUGACCUCUGUACUCUCAGACAUUGUUAUGAUUCCCCAUUCCAUGCAGUCAAAGAUGGGGCUUUUGCAGAUGUGGCUUCCUAUGUCUGAUGCUGGAAUCAGUUCAGAGUAUACUAAAAUUAAUGGCACUAGGAUAGAGGGUAUGUAAGCUGCCCACUCUAACAGCUUAUAUAAUAUAUAAGACAAGGAACUGGUGUUGUCCUUUGCUUAAUCUAGCCUGCCUGUUUGCUGUGGACUAUUUCUCCUCUGUGAUAUCUCUCUGCCAUUCCACUUUGCGUUGGUGUCAUUCAACUACAAGUAAAAUGCUCCAGGAACUGUGAGCUAAAUAAAUCUUUCCUCAUUUA